GAAUCUGUGCUCUGGAGUUGCUGGCUAAUAUAUCAUCAUUUCCAGUUGAUCGAAGAUUAGAGGCAAAGAAGAAGAAGAAGAAAGGAAGGGUACUGAGCACCUGCCACGUGCUGGGGAGUGUGCUAAGCACUAAGGAUACAGAAUAGAAACUUACAGCCCUCAAGGAACUCCACAUUUAGUGGGAGAGGCGAUAAUUAAAUGGUCAAGUAAAAUACCAUGACAAUUCUAUCUUUGCAGGCAACUCUCAUCAACUUCCAGAAAAAGAAUACAUUGGCAAGAUACAGGAUCAUUCAGAAAACUGCAGGAAAACUACAGCAUCCAGGCUCUGAAAGGAGCUCCCAGGACAGAAGCAGCAGGAAUCGACUGGAAGUCUU
rnacentral:lncRNA from 1 species